UGCACUGAAGGCAGGUGCCAUUCCUUCCAUUGUUUUCUCAUCAAGAUCUGAAUUAGGAAUCUUUCUUUGACUUUAAUUUUUGUGCACAACGC